AGACCAUGGUGUGUGGACAGCAUCUCAACAAGUCCUUGUACCUCUCCCAGGCAUCGUACAUGCUCUCGUCGUCCAUCUGCAUAAAAGAAGAAAUGUCAUUUCUCAAUUU
rfam:Ricinus communis cultivar Hale ctg_1100012358813, whole genome shotgun sequence.